rnacentral:sRNA from 2 species
UCGCGUCAAGCGCCGUAGGCAGGAGCGGGGGACCCAAGGUAAGUGCCGCGACCGGGAGUUGAGAGACGCCCGGGGACGGCUUGGGGUAAAGCCGCGCGCCGUGGUUCCGAGACGGGACCGGGGACGUGCGGCCGGGCAACUCAACCGGCCCGAACCCGACAGCUCACCUCGCAGGCGUCGGUGAGGGGAUCA